GUGUGCUAAAAAUAUUUAAAAUAUCAAAAUGGGUAUAUUUUAAAUAGUCCUGCAACAUUUUGUACGUUUUUUGUACGCAGAUGUAUGUUCAAGUUCAAUAACUGAUUCUCUUUUUGUCUCUGUUUGCAGAGUUCAUUCGCUUUGACCAAAGGCUGCCGACUGAGUUCCCCCCCCCCCUCUUUAUUGCUGCUCCACUUUUUGUCUCUGACUUCUUUCACUCACUGUCUAUCUUGGAUUGACAAGACGCAUUGUGGUGGACGUUGACUGAUCCCUGUGGGCUGGAUCAGACAUUGACGAAUCAGACGUGGACUUUGAUCCCUGUGUUGAGGAUCAAACUUUUUUUUUUUAUCCUUGUGGUGUGGAUCAGACGUUGACUUGAUCCCUGGUAUCUGGAGCCGACCUUGACUUGAUCCUUGCCUGGAUCGGACCUUGACUUGAUCCCUUGCGGUGCGGGAUCUGAUUAAAAAAAAAAACCCUGCCUUGGGAUUGGCAUUGAAAUAUAACCCUGUUGUGGGCUGUGCAUUCAAAAUAUAACCCGUUGUGGGCUGUGCAUUGAAAUAUAACUUCUUGGACCUGGGCCUAACUGUGAAAUAUUACUACCUCUUGUGCGAGAUCCAAUUGACAAAAGUGCAAGACACGAGCCAUGCCGCGCAAAAGCAAGAAGGCGCAAGCUGUCAAGAUAAGCUGGCAACAACGGAAAAAAAACACUGAAUGUGGAGGUGCAGAUAAACCAACACCCGCUAAAGAAUUGCUGGCCAUUGAACCUGGAAACUCUAAGGAGCUUUCCUGCAGGAGAUAGACAAUGUGACCAGUGCUCACCUGGACCUUGUUCUCGAUCGAGGCAAUGAGCUCUAUGUGGCUACUGUGGCUGUGCUGAAAGCAGAAGGACGAUACGAACAUCCUCAUUUGGCAACCGAUGAAAUUCCAUCCAUUGUGAAUGGCUUUCACAAACAUGUGUUAAUAAAGCAUCACUCAAUGUA